rnacentral:misc_RNA from 1 species
UCGAAGUAAACCUGAUGGGCUGUCGCUGGCUCUCCAGGGAGCAUGUGCACGCCCAGUCAUCUUUAUGUCUCCACCUGUGCACUUUUUGUAGACCCCCAGGGUCUAUGUCGCUUCAUUCACCCCAAAUGCAUGUCGAUAGAAUGUUAGUCCCAUAUGAAAUCUAUA